UACCAUAGCACCAACCAGUGCAUAGCAUGACAGUGUCUCUACCACCUGUCAGCUAGUACACUGUGCUAUGUGGUAUGGGUGAUACCUCCUAGUCCUAGAGCACCACACAUCCCAUGUGGUAGCUCUAAGCACGUAGGUACGGUAGAGCUAAUGGGUAGCUGCGCAUGGAGCACCUCGGUGUCGUCUCAUGCUACAGCUGUCCAUACGAGCAGCCCAGGACGAUGUCCACGUCCUUAGAGCUCUCGUUGGUGGGUUGUGCACGCCAUGUGGUAGUGCUCCUCCUCCACAUGACAGUGAUACACAGUACGCUAGGACAUGCUACGGGAGGACCACCACAUAGUAUGCUAUGAGU
rnacentral:rRNA from 1 species